AUGCCUCGGAAAGGUAGGAGAUCACGGGCUCAAAAAGUUCGUUGGACAAAGUUAGACCUGACGGGACAGACGAGCGUCAGUAAAGGUGUUGCUCAGGUUUCUGAUGGACAGCAGUACGAAGACGGCAACAGCACAUCUAGAAUUCUAUCCGUGCAGGCGUCUCAUUGCCAGAGUGAUGCAAGGUAUGACGUUUUCUCACGAAAUCAUCAGUGCACAUGUGUAGCUCUGACAUUCCUUGCGUACCACAGUGAGGGAACUUCGUUCGAACAGCCUGAUCUUGACAGAGUGCUAGAGGAAGGUGAUGCUUUGUAUGUCGGCAUUAAAAUGCAACUUAUUGCUGAAGGAAGAUUCCGACAGGAUCUUCUAAGCAUGGCUGAAGUACCUGUGAGCAUCACAACUUCUAACCACAACUACAGCGUCCAAAAGUCAGAAGUGGUGAUGGGAUAUCUAAGAGACAGAGGAACUUCUGAAAUGGAUGCGUGGUGGAUUCCUCUUGACGAAAGACUUCAGUGUCUCUCGACAGAUGUCAGCCAUGCACUGCUUAUUGUUUCUCCAGAGUGCUUUGCUGUGUUCAGAGACAGAUCUGGAAGAUAUGGAUUUUUUGAUUCACAUUCCAGAACUGCUGAAGGUUUGCCACAUCCUACUGGUGACGGAACUGCAGUUAUGCUAACUUUCACCAACCUGCAUGACAUGACCAACAGAUUACUUGAGCUCUUUUGGAAUCGUGGCGCUCAGACUUGCUAUGAAUUCAUGGCUGUUUCAUUUGAAAUGGAGCAACAGUCUGAGGAAACAUGCUCAUCAGCAGCAUGUGUGACACCAUCACAAAUAACUUCACCUCUGCCAAAAACACAAACAACUGCUGACAUCAGAAUCCCUGAAAAUCUUGUUCUGACAGAUGACAAAAACCAAAGUUUCAUAAAGGUUUUAAAAACAAACAAGCAGCGAAGAAGAAAAGAAGUGCGUAAAAUUGUGAAUGAAAAGCAAUCAGCAGGACUUGAGAAAACCGCUCCACAUUUUGGAGUCCGGGAACAAAAAAGAAGAGAA
ensembl:lncRNA